GUUGUCACAUUUUCCAGGUGUUAUCAUCUUGGUGCCCCACUUGUCCUUGUUCAAGAUCGGAUGACUCCCUUCAUUUUCCCAUUGGAAAUUGGUACUCGUUCUUAGCUUGAAACCUUAUCCUCCAUUUCGAAUUUGAAUUUGUUGAAAUUCCAUUCCGAAUUUUCUCCCUAUUUUCUGCCCUAAUUUAAUUCUACAAAUACCUUCAAAUUUUUUCUCUUUGUGAAGGAGGGAAAAAAAGAGAGUGAGAAGGUUACGAAAAUGGAAAAAGUGGAGAAAAUUAUUAGUCAUAUACAUUAUAUAUGAAUACUUAGGAAACAGGUUUCAAAAUAGAUUGAAAAAUCCAGAUUUUACUCCCUUUGUUUACUGGUUCGCUUCUGUUUUCUUUAUCAAACUUCUCGGAGUUACAUUUUGGUGGUGGAAGCUUGCUGUCUUUGAUCAUUCAGUCUCGGUUCAGUUGCCCAGAAAAAGUCCUCUUCGACUACAAUUUUCUUCCCUCAUAUUCCGGAUGGGCCAUAAAGGUCCCAAAUCCCCUUUUUCCUUCGAGUCAGCCCCCUCGGCAAGCUGCAAAACUGAUGUACAAGUUGAGGUAGAUAAAUGUAGGCUGGAAAUUAAUUUUGCAGGUCUCAGAAAAGCCCAAAAGAAGGUAGUAUACAUGAAGUAGACAAUUGUGUACACAAGUAUACACGGAAAGAAUUGUUAUAUAUAGGUUUGAACUGACAAAACAGGUGCUGGAAGUCUGAAAUGGGCAGCGUACAUUCAGCAUACAUCCCAAUAUACAUGAAAACGAGUCAAAAUACGUAUCAUGUAUAUCCAUAUACGUUUGGUGUGUACACAGAUUUUAAGUGUGAAAAAGAAGGAAUAUAGGCCAAAAAUCCAAGGAAAUUUCCAGCAGGUCCAUUAGCAGGAAUUUGGGCAAUGGCCCAAAAUUGACAUCUCCCUCUUUCCUCCCUAUUUAUUUGUUAUUAUAAUGACUAACAUUACUUGAUUGAUUUUGGUUAAUUUAAUUUUAUUUUCAAGAUAAUAAUUUCUCUUUAUAUUCAAAAACACAAAUUUUAAUUUUUUUGUUACUUCUUUUUUUAUUUUAAUUUGUCCUGUCAAUACUUAUGAAUUAUUUUCUUUUAAGAAAUUCCCCCUAUUUCUUUUCCCCUCAAUAUAUUAGAAUCAUAAAUUAAGUAAAAUAAAUAAAAAAUUUUGAAUUUACUUAACUUAGUAAAAAUUUGAAAAUCAUUGAAAAGUCAUUUUUAGUCAAAUCGUCGGUCAACCGCGAGUUAACACGCAUUCCGAGGGCCUAACACCUUCUCGGAAUGUAUAUUGAAAUUUGAACCAUCUUUCAAUCUAUUUUUAUCUGUUUUAAAUUUUUUUAAAAUAAUUGUAAGUUUUCUUAAUUUUUACUAAAAAAUCAAGUGGCGACUCUGUUAAUUUGGAAAGUUGAUUUUUCUUAAAAUCAUAACAUUAAUUAAUUUUUCAAAACUUAGUCAGUUUUUCAUUUCUAUUAUCACAUAUUUUAAGUAAAACAGUCAUCAUAGAUAGGAUGACCAAGUCAGCCCACUUUAUUCCCAUCAAAGCUUCAUAUUCGGUGGAAGACUAUUCCAAUAUAUAUAUUAAGGAUAUAUUGAGGAUGCAUGGGGUUCCCUUGUCCAUAAUUUCGGAUAGGGGUACUCAAUUAACUUCUCACUUUUGGAAGGCUUUCAAAAAUGGGCUUGGUACUAAAGUGAAACUUAGUACUGCAUUUCAUCCCCAAACGGAUGGUCAAGCGGAAUGUACCAUCCAAACCAUAAAAGACAUGUUGAGGGCAUCUGUUAUUGACUUCAAGGGUAAUUAGGAUGAUCAUCUACCUUUGAUAGAUUUUGCGUACAAUAAUAACUACCACUCAAGUAAUUCCAUGGCUCCAUUUGAAGCACUUUAUGGGAGAAGAUGUAGGUCUCCUAUUGGGUGGUUUGAAGUAGGUGAGUUUGCACUUAUCGGUCCCAAAAUAUUUUACGAGGUCGUUAAGAAAGUCUGACUUAUUAGAGAUAGGUUGAAGACGACCCAAAGUCAGUAAAAGUCUUAUGCCCAUAAUAGAAGGAGGGAUCUUGAAUUUGAGGUAGGUGAUUGAGUCUACUUGAAGAUUUCAUCCAUAAAAAGGGUAAUGAGGUUUAGCAAAAAGGGGAAACUUAGUCCCUGGUAUGUAGUCCCAUAUGAGUUGGCUCCGUUUCACCAGGCAUUCCAUGAUUCCAUGCUCAAGAAAUGCAUAGGUUAUCCAGUGUCCAUCCUUCCUUCAGAAGGAUUAGAAGGUUAUGACCUUUCUUAUGAAAAGGUUCUGGUUGAGAUUUCAAACCGGCAAGUAAAGAGAUUGAGGAAUGAAGAGGUAGCUUCCGAAAAGGUUUUAUGGAGGAACCAUCUAGCUGAGAGUGAUACAUGGGAGGCUGAGGCCGACAUAAUGUCCCCUUAUCCUCAUCUUUUCCAUCCUAUUUCUAUUCAAACUUGAGGAAAACUGACCAAAACAGAAAUGCAGAAGACUGUGCUGAAAUCAGUGCAGAAGUGAUGACCUACGGAACCAUCGAUGGCCCGUCGACCCAUCGAUGGUCCGUAAGUGGUGAUCGUCGACUGGAGGUUUAAGCUACUGAAAUCAAAUCGAGGAAUUCUGACUAAGUAUGGGUCUACAGAAGGAUCGACAGUUCGUAAGUCCAGUGACGGACCAUGUUGUUGGUCCGUCGAUUGUAACAGAAAGGAUGCAAAAGUGGAGGCUGAAAAAGAUUCUAAGUGUGGACGGACGGAGGUAGUGAUGGACCGUUAGUUGGGUCGUCAACUGAAGAUGCAUUUUGGACAGAUAUUUUCUUAUUUAGAACUCCUUUUAUUUUAGGACUUUAUUACUAUAAAUAGGACUAAAAAUCUCGUUUUUGGGGUUAGAAUUUUUUGUUAGAAUUUUUAUUAUUUUUCAUACUCUUGUUAUUGGAAGUUGAACUUUGGAUUUUGGGAAUUACUUCAAGUUUUCGAAAUCGAUUCUUAAGAUAUUUUCGUUAA